rnacentral:rRNA from 1 species
GAUGAACGCUGGCGGCGUGCCUAAUACAUGCAAGUCGAGCGAACAGACGAGGAGCUUGCUCCUCUGACGUUAGCGGCGGACGGGUGAGUAACACGUGGAUAACCUACCUAUAAGACUGGGAUAACUUCGGGAAACCGGAGCUAAUACCGGAUAACAUGUUGAACCGCAUGGUUCAACAGUGAAAGACGGUCUUGCUGUCACUUAUAGAUGGAUCCGCGCCGCAUUAGCUAGUUGGUAAGGUAACGGCUUACCAAGGCAACGAUGCGUAGCCGACCUGAGAGGGUGAUCGGCCACACUGGAACUGAGACCCGGUCCAGACCCCUACGGGAGGCAGCAGUAGGGAAUCUUCCGCAAUGGGCGAAAGCCUGACGGAGCAACGCCGCGUGAGUGAAGAAGGUCUUCGGAUCGUAAAACUCUGUUAUUAGGGAAGAACAAAUGUGUAAGUAACUAUGCACGUCUUGACGGUACCUAAUCAGAAAGCCACGGCUAACUACGUG